AGGUAUAGGUGGGUAGCCAGAGAAGACAUUUAGGCAAAGGGAUUAGAAGUGAGUUUUCUUGACCAAGAGCGGUGGCUCACGCCUGUAAUCUCAGCACUUUGGGAGGCCAAGGAGGGUGGAUCACCUGAGGUCAGGAGUUCGAGACCAGCCUGGCCAACAUGGCGAAACCCUGUCUCUACUACAAAUACAAAAAAAAAAAAAAAAUUAGCUAGGUGUGGUGGUGGGUGCCUGUAAUCCCAGCUACCCAGGAGGCUGAGGCAGGAGAAUCACUGGAACCUGGGAGGCAGAGGCUGCAGUGAGCCUAGAUCCCGCCACUACACUCCAGCCUGGGCAAAGGACCAUGACUCCAACAACAACAACAAAAAAACUGUUACAAUGUGAAUAUUUUGAAGGAAUCAAUAAAGGAAUAAGAGCUGAGAAAAGGAUUAGAGAGACAACACGGCCCAGGGAGCAGCACAGGAUGCACCAAGGAACUUUUGCCGGCAGAGCUGUGAGUUAAAAUAUGCCGCACCUCUUUCCCGAAAUAUCACAUUAGAGCUGGAAGGGACUUUGUGGGAGCAUUUAGUCUACCAAUCUAUUUAAAAGUGGGGAAAGGGAGGCCAGGAUCACAUCAUGGAUGAAUGACAAGUCCAGGCUCGAUUUUCUGCCUUAGAAGCCAAGGCCUGUAUUCUCAGCCACAUGGCUAAAUUCCCUGGCUUCAAGGGCCAGCUUCAUUACAUCCACAAAGCUUGUUUAAGUUUAUCCUUCAGCGGGGACCAUCUGAGGCUGCAACGUGGAGCUCUUUCCAAAAACAACUGUCCUUGUGCAGAGGUCUGCAUGGUGAGACCUGGAGGUGUGUGGUGGCUGUGGGGGCUGCAGGGAAGGGGUAAACCUCAUUUUCAUAGCUGGGCAGAGAGAAGGAAGGCAGACCAGUCCCAUAAGUACUAUAGGCCAUGGCUCUCAUUUCCUUUCAAAUAAUUCUCUCAAGCUGUAUAAACUUUCUGCCUGAAAAAUAAAUGACUGCCCCCUUAAAAUAAACAUUUACGCCAUCCACUUGCCUGCAUUCACUGCCCAAGAAUGAGGCUCACCUAUUACUGUGCCCAGAAGCUUCCGCCAAAAGCCUGCAAACUUAUAUUUUUCUCCAUGACCCUCAGUAACCACUAUUCGACAAUCACCAUCUCCCAGAAACCCAUCAAAGCAAAAAGAAAGAAAGAAACAAGAAAGAAAGAAAGAGAAAGAAAGAAG
rnacentral:lncRNA from 10 species